rfam:Cavia porcellus supercont2_9 genomic scaffold, whole genome shotgun sequence.
GGGGAUUUAGCUCAGCGGCAUAAGCACCUGCCUUGCAAGCAGGCCAUCGUGAGUUCGAUUCUCGGUACCA